CCAAUUUUGUUUAUCUUCUCAAAGUACCAGCUUUUAGUUUUAUUGAUCUUGCCUAUUGUUUUCUUUGUUUCUAUUUCAUUUAUUUCUGCUCUGAUCUUUAUGAUUUCUUUACUUUUGCUAACUUUGGGUUUUGUUUGUUCUUCUUUCUGUAGUUCCUUUAGGUGUAACGUUCAAUUAUUUAUUUUAGAUGUUUCUUGUUUCCUGAGGUAGGCUUGUAUAGCUAUAAACUUCCCUCUUAGAACUGCUUUUGUUGCAUCCCAUAGGUUUUGGGUUGUCAUGUUUCAUUGUCAUUUGUCUCUAGGUAUUUUUUUGAUUUCCUCUGAUUUCUUCAGUGAUCUCUUGGUUAUUUAGUAAUGCACUGUUCGGCCUCCAUGUGUUUGUGUUUUUUAUGUUUUUUUCCCCCUGUAAUUGAUAUCUAAUCUCAUAGCGCUGUGGUCAGAAAAGAUGCUUGAUACGAUUUCAAUUUUCUUAAAUUUACUGAGGCUUGAUUUGUGGCCCAAGAUAUGAUCUAUCCUGGAGAGUGUUCCUUGUGCACUUGAGAAGAAAGUGUAAUCUGCUGUUUUAGGAUAGAAUGCCCUAUAAAUAUCAAUUAAAUCUACCUGGUCUGUUGUGUCAUUUAAAGCUUGUGUUUCCUUAUUAAUUUUCUGUCCACUGGUGUAAGUGAGGUGUUAAAAGUCACCCACUAUUACUGUGUUACUGUCGAUUUCCUCUUUUAUAGCUGUUAGCAUUUGCGUUAUGUAUUGAGGUGCUCCUGUGUUGGGUGCAUAUAUAAUUGUUAUGUUUUCUUCUUGGAUUGAUCCCUUGAUCAUUAUGUAGUGUCCUUCCUUGUCUCUUGUAACAUUCUUUAUUUGGAAGUCUAUUUUAUCUGAUAUGAGUAUAGCUACUCCAGCUUUCUUUUGAUGUCCGUUUGCCUGGAAUAUCUUUUUCCAUCCCCUCACUUUGUCUUUAUGUGUCCCUAGGUCUGAAGUGGGCCUCUUGUAGACAGCAUAUAUAUGGGUCUUGUUUUUGUAUCUAUUCAGCGAGCCUGUGUCUUUUGGUUGGAGCAAUUAAUCCAUUCACACUUAAGGUAAUUAUCGAUACGUAUGUUCCUAUUACCAUUUUCUUCAUUGUUUUGGGUUUGUUUUUGUAGGUCCGUUUCUUCUCUUGUGUUUCCCACUUAGAGAAGUUCCUUUAGCAUUUGUUGUGGAGCUGGUUUGGUGGUGCUGAAUUCUUUUAGCUUUUGCUUGUUUGUAAAGCUUCUGAUUUCUCCGUCAAGUUUGAAUGAAAUCUUUGCUGAUCUUGGUUGUAGGUUCUUCCCUUUCAUCACUUUAAAUGUAUCCUGCCACUCCCUUCUGGUUUGUAGAGUUUCUGCUGAGAAAUCAGGGGGUAACCUUAUGGGACUCCUCUUGUAUGUUGUCAUUUUCCCCUUGUUGCUUUUAAUAAUUUUUCUUUAAUUCUUGUCAGUCUGAUUACUGUGUGUCUCAGCAUGUUUCUCUUUGGGUUUGUCCUGCCUGGGACUCUGCGCUUCCUGGACUUGGGUGGCUGUUUCCUUUCCCAAGUUAGGGAAGUUUUUGACUAUAAUCUCUUCAAAUCCCUCUCCCUCUCCCUCUCCCCCUCUCCCCCUCUCUCCCUCUUCUCCCUCUCUCCCCUCCUCCUCUGGGACCCCUAUAAUGCGAAUAUUGGUACAUUUAAUAUUGUCCUAGAGGUUUCUCACGCGGUCAUUUCUUCUCAUUCUUUUUUCUCUAUUCUGUUCUGCGGCAGUGUUUUCCACCAUUCUGUCUUCCAGGUCACUUAUCCUUUCUUCUGCCUCAGUUAUUCUGCUGUUGAUUCCUUCUAGUGUAGUUUUCAGUUAUUGUACUGUUCAUCUCUGUUUGUUUGUUCUUUAAUUCUUCUAGGUCUUUGUUAAACAUUUCUUGCAUCUUCUUGAUCUUUGCCUCCAUUCUUUUUCCGAGGUCCUGGAUCAUCUUCACUAUCAUUAUUCUGAAUUCUUUUUCUGAAAGGUUGCCUAUCUCCACUUCAUUUAGCUGUUUUCUGGGGUUUUGUCUUGUUCCUUCAUCUGGUACAUAGCCCUCUGCCUUUUCAUCUUGUCUGUCUUUCUGUGAAUGUGGUUUUUGUUCCACAGGCUGCAGGAUUGUAGUUCUUCUUACUUCUGCCGUCUGCCCUCUGGUGGGUGAGGCUAUCUAAGAGGCUUUUGCCAGCUUCCUGAUGGGAGGGACUGGUGGUGGGUAGAGCUGGGUGUUGCCCUGGUGGGCAGAGCUCAGUAAAACUUUAAUACCCCUGUCUGCUGAUGGGUGGGGCUGGGUUCCCUCGCUUUUGGUUGAUUGGCCUGAGGUGACCCAGCACUGGAGCCUAGGCUCUUCGGUGGGGCUAAUGGUGGACUCUGGGAGGGCUCAUGCCAAGGAGUACUUCCCAGAACUUCUGCCGCCAGUGUCCUUGUCCCCACAGUGAGCCACAGCCACCCCCCGCCUCUGCAGGAGACCCUCCAACACUAGCAGGUAGGUCUGGUUCAGUCUCCCCCAGGGUCACUGCUCCUUCCCCUGGGUCCCGAUGCGCACACUACUUUGUGUGAGCCCUCCACGAGUGGAGUCUCUGUUUCCCCCAGUCCUGUUGAAGUCCUGCAAUCAAAUUCCGCGAACCUUCGAAGUCUGAUUCUCUGAGAAAUCCUCCUCCUGGUGCUGGACCCCCAGGUUGGGAAGCCUGAUGUGGGGCUCAGAACCUUCACUCCAGUGGGUGGACUUCUGUGGUCUAAGUGUUCUCCAGUUGGUGAAACGGUUGCCUCUGGCGGUCUUGAAGAGGUGUCUUUAUGUGGGACGCGCCCCUGGUACAGUUUGUGUGUGUCCAGUGGCUUUGGUGGGGGAGCUGAAUUUGACUGGAACCUAAGCCAUGUACUCUCUCACCGUGUGCUUAGCAGCUGUCAACUUGCUGGAAAGUCCUCGUGGUUGGCCUCUCAUACAGUGCACGUCUGUGCCUUGCCCAGGGAUCUGCAAAUAGUAGUUCCACACAGGAGCUCUACAAGUUCCUGACAACCAUGAGUCAGAGGAGAUCAUCUGAGCCAUGUCAUGGAGAAGGCAGAGUAGGGCCCUCUGAGAAUCAGUACCUCCACUGAAGCUACCAACAAGCUGGCAGAAUAAUGGCAGAACCAACGUCUUUGGAAUGCUGGAUUCAGAUCAGAUACUUACAGAAACCAGGGGAAGAUGCUGGGAAAACUCGGUGAGUGCAGUACCACUGUUCUGUGCUUGCCUGCCACCCCAGCUCCCAGCUGCCAGCAGAGACCAUGCCCCUAGUGUGGGUUGCCGGUUCUGGGCACAAGGGGUGGGGUGGCCAUAGGGACCUUGCUCUUCUAAAUGCACAAAUGUCGUUGUGCAUUUGACCUGUCUGGUAGUGACCUGAGGGGCCGGCACAGAGCCUUCCCUUGCUUUGCUCUUUCAGCUCCAGCCACUUCCAGGAGGCACGAAUCAAAAGCAUUUAAAGACUACCCAUGCUAUCCACGGGCAGCUGGGGCGAGCAGCAGACGGAACAACAACCUAGACGGGAGGAGGCUACGGAGGAGGGUCCUUGGGGGAACGAGGGCUUCAAAGGCUGCCUAGUGCAUUUGCACGCCAAACCCUGACACGAGCUCAGAAGAGAACUGACAACACUGACACUUACACCACUCCUUGGGCUCCAAGGUGAAAGCUGGAGUGGAGUCGCAGGCAGCCUGGCUGAGCACUGAAGGAGCAGCCCAAAACCAACCUGCAAAGUGUGGGAGGAGAUCUUUUUGGUGCUGGGUGUUUAAGGAAAUCUCGUAACUAUAUAAAUAAAUCUUGGUGUGUUACUCCUCUUUUUAUUUAUAUGAUUUAAAAGACAAGUGCAUAAAACUAAUUAUAAAUCUAAUGUUAAUGGGGAUACAGUAUUCUAAGAUGUAACUUGUGAUGGCAACAAUAACAGCAUCAAGUGGGAGAGAGGACAGAGCUGUACAGGAGCAGGGUUUUUGCGAAGCUGUUGGAACCAGUAUCAAUUCAAACUAUAUUGUUAUCAAUUCAGGAUGUUAAUUAUAGUCAUCAGAAUAACCACUAAGAAAAAACUUAAAAACACACAGAAAAGGAAAGAAGGUGGGAAUUGAAAUGAUACAUUAGCAAAACCAAAUCAAACACAAAAGGAAACAGUUUUGGAAAAAAUUGGGGGGAAAAGAUGAAACUCGUAGAAAACAAAUGGAAAUAAGAUAGAAAUAGGUACUCCCUAAUUUAGAAGUUGCUUUAUAUUUAAGCAGAUUAAAUUCACCAGAGGUACUGGCAACAUGGAUUAUAAAAGCAUAAGCCAAUUAUAUACUAUCUACAAGCGACUCAUUUUAGAGCCAAAGUCACAAACAGAUUGAAAGUACGGAAACAUGUUUUCCACGCAUUAAUAACCAGUAGAAAGCUGGCAUGAUAUGUAUAUAGCUGAUUCACUGUUAUACAGCAGAAACUAACAAACACACCAUUGUAAAGCAAUUAUACUCUAAUAAAGAUGUUUAAAAAACUAAUAAAAUAAAAUGAAAACAAAACAAAAAAAGAAAGCUGGCAUGGCUACUAGUAUCAGGAAAUAGACUCUUAAGUCACAACCUGUUACAGGAGACCAAAAAGGGGCAUUAUAUACUGAUAAAGUCAAUCCAUUAAAAAGACAUCGCAAUUAUAAAGAUGCACACACCAAACAGCAGGACCCACCCCCACCCAAAUCCAGGAAGCAAAGCUUGACAGAACUGAA